rnacentral:rRNA from 1 species
GCGAGUGAGAUGAACCUGCGGAAGGAUCAUUACCGAGUUCAUGCCCUUCGGGGUAGAUCUCCCACCCUUUGUAUACUAUACCUUUGUUGCUUUGGCGGGCCGCCUAGCUACUGGCUUCGGCUGGUAAGUGCCCGCCAGAGAACCCAAAACCCUGAAUUAUUAGUGUCGUCUGAGUAAAAUAUUUAAUAUUUAAAACUUUCAACAACGGAUCUCUUGGCUCUGGCAUCGAUGAAGAACGCAGCGAAAUGCGAUAAGUAAUGUGAAUUGCAGAAUUCAGUGAAUCAUCGAAUCUUUGAACGCACAUUGCGCCCCUUGGUAUUCCGAGGGGCAUGCCUAUUCGAGCGUCAUUAUCACCCCUCAAGCCUAGCUUGGUGUUGAGACCUGCUGUCAAGACAGUCUCUAAAAUCAGUGGCAGUGCUGUCAGGCUCUAAGCGUAGUAAAUUCAUCGCUAUAGACACCUGGUGGCCACUCGCCAGAACCCCCCCAUUUUUUAAUGAUUGACCUCGGAUUAGGUAGGGAUACCCGCUGAACUUAAGCAUAUCAAUAGGGAGGGAANA